rnacentral:rRNA from 1 species
ACGGGAGGCAGCAGUGGGGGAUAUUGGACAAUGGGGGAAACCCUGAUCCAGCGACGCCGCGUGAGUGAAGAAGUAUUUCGGUAUGUAAAGCUCUAUCAGCAGGGAAGAAAAAAUCAAAAUUGACUGUACCUGACUAAGAAGCUCCGGCUAACUACGUGCCAGCAGCCGCGGUAAUACGUAGGGAGCAAGCGUUAUCCGGAUUUACUGGGUGUAAAGGGAGCGUAGGCGGUUCGGCAAGUCAGAUGUGAAAACCCGGGGCUCAACCCCGGGACUGCAUUUGAAACUGUCGAACUAGAGUAUCGGAGAGGUAAGUGGAAUUCCUAGUGUAGCGGUGAAAUGCGUAGAUAUUAGGAGGAACACCAGUGGCGAAGGCGGCUUACUGGACGGUAACUGACGUUGAGGCUCGAAAGCGUGGGGAGCAAACAGGAUUAGAUACCCUGGUA